rnacentral:rRNA from 1 species
UACGAAGGGUGCAAGCGUUACUCGGAAUUACUGGGCGUAAAGCGCGUGUAGGCGGCCCAUUAAGUCUGAUGUGAAAGCCCGGGGCUCACCCCCGGAAGUGCAUUGGAAACUGAUGGACUCGAGUCCCGGAGAGGAGAGUGGAAUUCCUGGUGUAGCGGUGAAAUGCGUAGAUAUCAGGAGGAACACCGGUGGCGAAGGCGGCUCUCUGGACGGUGACUGACGCUGAGACGCGAAAGCGUGGGGAGCAAACAGG